rnacentral:rRNA from 1 species
GGGCCCGCACAAGCGGUGGAGCAUGUGGUUUAAUUCGAUGAUACGCGAGGAACCUUACCAGGGCUUAAAUGGGAAAUGACAGGGGCAGAGACGCCCCCUUCUUCGGACAUUUUUCAAGGUGCUGCAUGGUUGUCGUCAGCUCGUGCCGUGAGGUGUCAGGUUAAGUCCUAUAACGAGCGCAACCCCUACCGUUAGUUGCCAGCGUGUAAUGACGGGGACUCUAACGGAACUGCCGGUGCAAACCGUGAGGAAGGUGGGGACGACGUCAAAUCAUCACGGCCCUUACGUGUUGGCUACACACGUGCUACAAUGGUAUCUACAACAGGAAGCAAGACUGCGAAGUUAAGCA